UCCCGGUUGGCCAAGUGGUUUAAGGCAUCGCUCUUAUGUGGGUAACUAGAUGAAAUUAUAUUUUAUCGCCAAAUAGCGAGGGUCGUGAGUUCAAUCCUCACACUGGGAA
rnacentral:tRNA from 1 species